rnacentral:miRNA from 1 species
GCCGGGUGGGGCGGGGCGGCCUCAGCAGGGGCCCAGCUCCCCUGGAUGUGCCAUGGUGGGGCCGGAGGGGCGUCACUGCACCCAAGUGACGCCCCUUCUGAUUCUGCCUCAG